AGGAACCAAAAUGAGGCAUUUUGAUAGAUGACCAACAGUACAUGGUUUUGUAUUUUUCUGAAAGGAGGUGUCUUUCUUUGGAUAUGAUUUAUUGAGACUGUGAUGUUAAUAUUCUUGAUUUCUUGGAAUUGUCUUUAACAUCUGUCGAUGCCAAGAUGGGAAGAUCUACAGGUACAGUGGACGAGAGGAUGGAAUUGGAUAUCUUGGUUUGUAGGAAUCUGAUCGAAGAUGCGUUAGAACGAAUCAAUGAUAUUGUUCCUUCCAGGGAUCCACCGUGUCCAUUUGUUAU